AUGCUUACACACAUUAACCAAACUGACCCACCAGAUUUAAUAAUCACCCUUAACUCCUCCUCGAAAAAAUUAUCUUUGAAUUUGAACUAUUUUCCUCCAAAGUUUUACGAAAAAAUUGAAAAAUAUAGGAAUAAAAUACGGAUAACAUUAAGCACAAAGUUAAGCAACCCCUCUCCCCCAAGAUAA